AUGAUUUAUGAGCUGGCAAAAGUUUAUUUAUCUGAUUAUCUUUUCUGCUCUGAUUUAAUAUCUCAUGGUUUUCCUCUUUUUUAUGCAUUUUCUGAUUCUUUUCUGUAUGCAGGACAGGAUUUGGGAGUUCUCUCGUUAGAAGUCAGAUUGACGAACGGGUGCUUUGUGACAUUGAGCUUGGAUAUUAACCUCCAUGAUCUGAUUCAAAUUGUGGUGUUAAUCUUUCCUUUUGUUUUUCCUGUUGCACUUUCUUAA